UACAGAGGGUGCGAGCGUUUAAUCGGAAUUACUGGGCGUAAGGCGUGCGUAGACGGUCAAGUAAGUCGGGUGUGAAAGCCCCGGGCUCAACCUGGGAAUUGCAUUCGAGACUGCGUGGCUAGGGUGCGGAAGAGGGAAGCGGAAUUUCCGGUGUAGCGGUGAAAUGCGUAGAUAUCGGAAGGAACACCAGUGGCGAAAGCGGCUUCCUGGUCCAGCACCGACGUUCAGGCACGAAAGCGUGGGGAGCAAACGGG
rnacentral:rRNA from 1 species